rnacentral:rRNA from 1 species
AUUCCCCCAGAUAACGGCGAGCGAAGCGGGAAUAGCUCGAGCAUGAAAUCUCGGCAGCUAUGCCGGCGAAUUGUGGCCGAGAGUGGCAGCUUGGUUCUGGUUCCGAUGCCGAAGUUUGCCUGGAAAGGCACGUCAGAGAGGGCGAGAACCCCGUGCGUGGCUGAGGACGCCAGGACCGCCAACUGCACACGGAGAGUCGGGUUGUUUGGGAAUGCAGCCCAAAGUUGGUGGUAAACUCCAUCUAAAGCUAAAUACCGGCACGAGACCGAUAGCAAACAAGUACCGUGAGGGAAAGGUGAAAAGUACUUUGAAAAGAGAGUCAAAGAGAACGCGAAACCGUUAGGAGGGAAAUGAGUGCAGCGGAGGACUUCUCUACUUGCGUGGGCUGAGUGGUGUUGGUGUUGGCCCGCUAGCUGAUGUUGCGCAUGCUGCACGUUUUUGAGUGCUCUGCGAUAGGUGCAAUACUUGGUCAUCUGACCCGUCUUGAAACACGGACCAAGGAGUCUAACAUGGCGCGAGUCAUUGAGUUACAAACGGCAGAGUGAAAGUAAAGGCUAUGUAUGGCUAGGGGGAUCGGGUCAGCGCACUCCAUAAGGGCACGAGCAGCUGGGACCCGAAAGAUGGUGAACUAUGCUUGCAGGUGAAGCCAGAGGAAACUCUGGUGGAGCUCGCAGCGUUUCUGACGUGCAAAUCGAUCGUCAAACGAGGGUAUAGGGGCGGAA